AGAAUUCGUGGGUGUGUUUGUUCAACUCGGGGACAAAGACAGAUUAGAGAGGUACAAAAAUAAAUCCUCUUUUUGCAACCCAGAACUCAAUGUUCAGUGUGAGUUUUGAGAUAAACAAGAACAAAAUAC
rnacentral:snoRNA from 1 species